rnacentral:rRNA from 1 species
AGUAGGUGGGGUAACGGCUCACCUAGGCGACGAUCCCUAGCUGGUCUGAGAGGAUGACCAGCCACACUGGAACUGAGACACGGUCCAGACUCCUACGGGAGGCAGCAGUGGGGAAUAUUGCACAAUGGGCGCAAGCCUGAUGCAGCCAUGCCGCGUGUAUGAAGAAGGCCUUCGGGUUGUAAAGUACUUUCAGCGGGGAGGAAGGGAGUAAAGUUAAUACCUUUGCUCAUUGACGUUACCCGCAGAAGAAGCACCGGCUAACUCCGUGCCAGCAGCCGCGGUAAUACGGAGGGUGCAAGCGUUAAUCGGAAUUACUGGGCGUAAAGCGCACGCAGGCGGUUUGUUAAGUCAGAUGUGAAAUCCCCGGGCUCAACCUGGGAACUGCAUCUGAUACUGGCAAGCUUGAGUCUCGUAGAGGGGGGUAGAAUUCCAGGUGUAGCGGUGAAAUGCGUAGAGAUCUGGAGGAAUACCGGUGGCGAAGGCGGCCCCCUGGACGAAGACUGACGCUCAGGUGCGAAAGCGUGGGGAGCAAACAGGAUUAGAUACCAUGGUAGUCCACGCCGUAAACGAUGUCGACUUGGAGGUUGUGCCCUUGAGGCGUGGCUUCCGGAGCUAACGCGUUAAGUCGACCGCCUGGGGAGUACGGCCGCAAGGUUAAAACUCAAAUGAAUUGACGGGGGCCCGCACAAGCGGUGGAGCAUGUGGUUUAAUUCGAUGCAACGCGAAGAACCUUACCUGGUCUUGACAUCCACGGAAGUUUUCAGAGAUGAGAAUGUGCCUUCGGGAACCGUGAGACAGGUGCUGCAUGGCUGUCGUCAGCUCGUGUUGUGAAAUGUUGGGUUAAGUCCCGCAACGAGCGCAACCCUUAUCCUUUGUUGCCAGCGGUCCGGCCGGGAACUCAAAGGGGACUGCCAGUGAUAAACUGGAGGAAGGUGGGGAUGACGUCAA